UCGUGGACUGAUUUGUCUGGUUGAUUCCGUUAACGAGCGAGAUCUUAACCUGCUAAAUAGGCCGCUGAAGUACGCUUUGGUAUGUGCCUUCUUAGAGGGGACAUUGCGUGUUUAGCGCAAGGAAGUUUGAGGCAAUAACA
rnacentral:rRNA from 1 species